rnacentral:lncRNA from 1 species
CCCACAAUAAGUAAAUUAUUUAUGUGAUAAACAAAAGAAAAUGAAGGAUUUUAAGAAGAUUCAAGGAAUGAAAAUCAACAAAAAUUCUGAACCUAACUUAAAUUGUAAAGUUAAUGGACAAAAUAUCCGAUUGAUAAUAGAUACGGGAGCUAAUGUUACAUUGCUAUCCUGCACAUUCAUCAAUAAACUCAGGAAACAGAUAAUACCAUCUAAAGGUUCAAAAUCAGGGUUAUUAAGUAUUACAGGACAUGCAAUUUGAAUAUAUGCAAUGUCCAACUUCUCUUUUCAAAUCGGUCCAUUACAAUUCAAUCACCCAUGUUGUUGAUCCCCAUAUAGCCACUCCUGAUGAGGGUAUAUUAGGACACCACAUAAUUAUUCAACAUCAUUUCAGUUUCACUACAUAAUUCAAGAAUUAUCUUAGAUAAUGGCAUAAAUAAAGUUGUGUAAUAAGGUACUGAAGAGAGACUUGAAUAAUUGUCCAAAAACAUUUUACCUAAAUAAACAUUGUUAUACUCGCUGG